ACGAACGCUGGCGGCAGGCCUAACACAUGCAAGUCGAGCGAGGACUUCGGUUCUAGCGGCGGACGGGUGAGUAACGCGUGGGAAUGUGCCCUUCUCUACGGAAUAGCCCUGGGAAACUGGGAGUAAUACCGUAUACGCCCUAUUGGGGAAAGAUUUAUCGGAGAAGGAUCAGCCCGCGUUGGAUUAGGUAGUUGGAGGGGUAAUGGCCUACCAAGCCGACGAUCCAUAGCUGGUUUGAGAGGAUGAUCAGCCACACUGGGACUGAGACACGGCCCAGACUCCUACGGGAGGCAGCAGUGGGGAAUCUUAGACAAUGGGGGCAACCCUGAUCUAGCCAUGCCGCGUGAGUGAUGAAGGCCUUAGGGUUGUAAAGCUCUUUCAGCUGGGAAGAUAAUGACGGUACCAGCAGAAGAAGCCCCGGCUAACUCCGUG
rnacentral:rRNA from 1 species